rnacentral:rRNA from 1 species
GACGAACGCUGGCGGCGUGCUUAACACAUGCAAGUCGAACGAUGAAGCCGGAGCUUGCUCUGGUGAAUUAGUGGCGAACGGGUGAGUAACACGUGAGUAACCUGCCCUUGACUCUGGGAUAACUGCUAGAAAUGGUAGCUAAUACCGGAUACGACCCUCGGCGGCAUCGCCAGGGGGUGGAAAGAAUUUCGGUCAAGGAUGGACUCGCGGCCUAUCAGCUAGUUGGUGAGGUAACGGCUCACCAAGGCGACGACGGGUAGCCGGCCUGAGAGGGUGACCGCCCACACUGGGACUGGGACACGGCCCAGACUCCUACGGGAGGCAGCAGUGGGGAAUAUUGCACAAUUGGCGCAAGCCUGAUGCUGCAACGCCGCGUGAGGGAUGACGGCCUUCGGGUUGUAAACCUCUUUUAGUAGGGAGGAAGCGAAAGUGACGGUACCUGCAGAAAAAGCACCGGCUAACUACGUGCCAGCAGCCGCAGUAA